rnacentral:rRNA from 1 species
GAUGAACGCUGGCGGCGUGCCUAAUACAUGCAAGUCGAGCGAACGGACGAGAAGCUUGCUUUUCUGAUGUUAGCGGCGGACGGGUGAGUAACACGUGGAUAACCUACCUAUAAGACUGGGAUAACUUCGGGAAACCGGAGCUAAUACCGGAUAAUAUUUUGAACCGCAUGGUUCAAAAGUGAAAGACGGUCUUGCUGUCACUUAUAGAUGGAUCCGCGCUGCAUUAGCUAGUUGGUAAGGUAACGGCUUACCAAGGCAACGAUGCAUAGCCGACCUGAGAGGGUGAGCGGCCACACUGGAACUGAGACACGGUCCAGACCCCUACGGGAGGCAGCAGUAGGGAAUCUUCCGCAAUGGGCGAAAGCCUGACGGAGCAACGCCGCGUGAGUGAUGAAGGUCUUCGGAUCGUAAAACUCUGUUAUUAGGGAAGAACAUAUGUGUAAGUAACUGUGCACAUCUUGACGGUACCUAAUCAGAAAGCCACGGCUAACUACGUG